rnacentral:rRNA from 1 species
UACGGAGGGUGCGAGCGUUAUCCGGCAUUACUGGGUUUAAAGGGUGCGUAGGCGGCUAUGUAAGUCAGGAGUGAAAGUUUGCGGCUCAACCGUAAAAUUGCUUUUGAUACUGCAUGGCUGGAAUUAGGAUGAGGUCAGCGGAAUGUGGCAUGUAGCGGUGAAAUGCAUAGAUAUGCCAUAGAACACCAAUUGCGAAGGCAGCUGGCUAGACCUGGAUUGACGCUGAGGCACGAAAGCGUGGGGAGCGAACAGG